CGGGUCGCUGACGGGCGGCGGUCUGGAGGCAGCGGCCAUGGCGCCGGAGCGCAUGGGCUGGGCGGUGGAGCAGGAGCUGGCGUCUCUGGAGAAAGGAGAUCACGAACCACACUUCCCUUUUCCGAAGAAGAGAAAAGCUUGAACCCUUGGCUUAGAUGGCUGUCCUGUGCACGGAGGGUAGUGACGUGUCCAAAGUGAGGAGCGCCAACUUGGGCCGGAGUCCAGAAAUAGAACCGGGGUCUUCUAGUUCUCUGCCCUUUCUUCCUCCUCAUAGAGUUUCAUUACUAUUUUUUUUUUCUGAUAUUUUAAGCUGGUUCAUGUUUUUACGUUAACACUUUCGGUUGUAUUGUGUAGCAGAGAGUCCCAACAAAGUGAGAAAACAUAAGUGUGACAAUUCCACUAUUAACCCACCUAUCCAACUGGCAAAAGUCACUUGGCUUCAGUUUUCCCAUCUGGAAGACUAUGCCAAUGGUUGUACUUGUGGUGAAGUUGAAGUGAAAUAAAGUUUUUAAAGUGGCUGCAAAAAUAAA
rnacentral:lncRNA from 10 species